rnacentral:tRNA from 1 species
GGGGGCUGUGGCUCAGUGGAAGAGCCUCUGCUUUGCCUGCAGAAGGCGCUAGAUUCAGUCCCGAGCACUUCCA